UACGGAGGGGGGCUAGCGUUGUUCGGAAUUACUGGGCGUAAAGCGCGCGUAGGCGGCUUUGUAAGUUAGAGGUGAAAGCCCGGAGCUUAACUCCGGAACUGCCUUUAAGACUGCAUCGCUAGAAUCGUGGAGAGGUGAGUGGAACUGCGAGUGUAGAGGUGAAAUUCGUAGAUAUUCGCAAGAACACCAGUGGCGAAGGCGGCUCACUGGCCCGAUACUGACGCUGAGGUGCGAAAGCGUGGGAGCAACAGGGG
rnacentral:rRNA from 1 species